rnacentral:rRNA from 1 species
UACGUAGGGCGCAAGCGUUAUCCGGAAUUAUUGGGCGUAAAGAGCUCGUAGGCGGUUUGUCGCGUCUGCCCGUGAAAAGUCCGGGGCUCAACUCCCGGAUCUGCGGUGGGUACGGGCAGACUAGAGUGAUGUAGGGGGAGACUGGAAUUCCUGGUGUAGCGGUGAAGUGCGCAGAUAUCAGGAGGAACACCGAUGGCGAAGGCAGGUCUCUGGGCAUUAACUGACGCUGAGGAGCGAAAAGCGUGGGGAGCAAACAGG